AGCAGGACAGGCGAUCGCGGCCAUGCGAAAGCAUGGGUGAGGAAAGUCCGGGCUUCAUAGGGCAGGAUGCCGGAUAACAUCCGGUGGAGGUGACUCCCAGGCCAGUGCAACAGAGAUAUACCGCCGAUGCCACGCAUCGGUAAGGGUGGAAAGGCAGUGUAAGAGACUACCGUCCGUCUGGUAACAGGCGGAGCCAUGUAAACCCCAUCCGAAGCAAGACCAAGCAGAGAGCAAUAGGCUUGCCCGGCCUGCUCUCAGGUGGGUCGCUUGAUGCGGCUGGUAACAGUCGUACUAGAUAGAUGAUCGCUCAACGACAUAACCCGGCUUAUCGUUCUGCUUA
rnacentral:RNase_P_RNA from 1 species